rnacentral:lncRNA from 10 species
GGAGUUCAAAACCAGCCUGGCCAACAUGGUGAAACCCCAUCUCUACUAAAAAUACAAAACAGCUGGGCAUGGUGGCACACGUUUCUAAUCCCAGCUACUUGGGAGGCUGAGGCAGGAGAACUGCUUGAAGCCAGGAGGUGGAGGUUGCAGUGAGCCGAGAUCACACCACUGCACUCUAGCCUAGCCAACACAGCAAAACUCCGUCUCAGGAAAAAAAAAAAAAAAAAGACAAGCUACAUUAAGACAGUAAAGAUAGACAAAUAGAUCAAUAGGACAAAAUGGAGUCAAGAAAGAGACCCAGGCAUAUAUGGACAACUUAUUUUCAACAAAGGUGCAAAGGCAAUUCAGUGGAGGAAGUAUGGUCUAUUCAACAAAAGAUACUGAAACAAAUGGAUAUCUAUAUCCAAAAAGGUGGACUUCAAUCCAUAACUCAUCAUAUACAAAAUUUACUCUGAGUGAGUCAUAGACCUAAAAUCUAAAACUAUAAAAUUUGUAGAGGAAAAACAUUUGUGACUUUGAGUUAGAGAUUUCUUAGCUAUAACAAAAAAAGAAUGAUCCAUAAAAGAAAAAGUUAAUAAUUUGAUUUAAUCAAAAUUUAAAACUUUUGCUCCUUAAAGGACAGUGUUAAAAGAUUAAAAAGAGCCACAGACUGGGACAAAAUACUUGGAAAUCAUAUCUGAUAAAGGAUUUAUAUUCAGAAUAUAUCAAGAAUCUCACUGGUCUGAGUGCAAUUUACAACCAAUUGAUCACAACCAGUUAUACAUUUCUUUGUUCUUCUCCAUUUUCACUGCUUCACUUGGCUAACCUUAAAAACAAAAAACAACAAAAUUCCACAUUUUAAUAAUUUAAAAUCCCAAUAAAAAAUGCAUGGAACAGAAACUUCACCAAAGACAACAAAUGAAUGCCAAAUAAACAAACACAUGAAAAAAUGCUUAACAUCUUAGUACUAGAGAAACACAAAUUGGCCAGGCACAGUGGCUCACACCUGUAAUCCCAGCACUUUGGGAGGCCUAAGUGGGCAGAUCACCUGAGUUCAGGAGUUCAAGACCAGCCUAGCCAACAUGGUGAAACCCACUCUCUACUAAAAAUACAAAAAUUAGCCAGGGGCGCCAGUGGGCACCUGUAAUCCCAGCUUCUCAGGAGACUGAGGCAAGAGAAACACUUCAACCCAGGAGGCAGAGGUUGCAGUGAACUGAGAUCAUGCCACUGCACUCCAGCCUGUGCAACAGAGUGAGACUCCGUCUCAAAAAAAAUAGAGAAAUGCAAAUUAAAAUCACAAUGCAAUACCAUUACACGCCUAUUAGAAUGACCAAAAAGACUGACCACACCAAGUGUUGGCGAGGAUAUGGGGGAACUGAACUCUCCUCCACUGUUGGUGGAAAUGUAAAAUGGUGCAGCCACUUGGGGAAACAGUUUGUCAGUUUCUUAAAAAGAUAAACAUAUGACCCAUGGAUUCUACUCCUGUGUAUGUAUCUAAAAGCAAUGAACACAUAUGUCUGUUCAAAGGUUUAUACACAAAUGUUCACAGUAGUUUUGUUUGUAAUAGCCAAAAACCAGAAACAACUCAAAUGUCCAUACCACUCAACAACAACAAGGAAUGAAUUCUUGGUACACAAUAAUGUACAAUACAGGUAAGUCUCAGUUAUGCCGAGGGAAAGAAGCCAGGAAAAAAGAGCACGUACUGUUUGAUUCCAUUUACAUACAAUUCCAGGAUGUGGGCCAAGUACGGUGGCUCACGCCUGUAAUCCCAGCACUUUCAGAGGCCAAGGUGGGCAGAUCACCUGAUGUCAGGAGUUUGAGAAAGCCUGACCAACAUGGUGAAACCCCAUCUCUAUUAAAAAUACAAAAAUUAGCCUGGCAUGGUGGCUCAUGCCCGUAAUCUCAGCACCUUGGGAGGCCAAGGCAGGUGGAUUACUUGAGGUCAGGAGUUUAAGACCACCCUGGCUAACAUGGCAAAAUCCCAUCUGUACUACAAAUAUAAAAAUUAGUGGGGACCCUGUAAUCCCAGCUGCUCAGGAGGCUGAGGCAGGAGAAUCACUUGAACCCAGGAGGCAGAGGUUGCAGCAAGCUGAGAUCUUGCAGCAAGCUGAGAUCUUGCAGCAAGCUGAGAUCUUGCAGCAAGCUGAGAUCUUGCAGCAAGCUGAGAUCUUGCCACUGUACUCCAGCCUGGGU